GCCCGGCUAGCUCAAUUGGAAGAGCGUGUGACUUUGUAAGCCGUCUCCACCUCUGGAGCUCCUUGAAUUCAACUAACAACUUCCGUAGUAUCUCCAGAUUUGAAAUCACAAGGUUCGGGGAUCGAACCCCCGGUCGGGCA
rnacentral:tRNA from 1 species